ACGGGUGCGUAACACGUGAGCAACCUGCCUCGGGGUGGGGGAUAACCCGUGGAAACGCGGGCUAAUACCGCAUGACCUUGUGAUCCCGCAUGGGGAUGCAAGGAAAGGGGCUUAACGGCCCUGCCUUGAGAGGGGCUCGCGGCGUAUCAGCUAGCUGGUGGGGUAACGGCUACCAGGGCAACGACGCGUAGCCGAUCUGAGAGGAUGAUCGGCCACAUUGGGACUGAGAUACGGCCCAGACUCCUACGGGAGGCAGCAGUGGGGAAUCUUGCGCAAUGGGCGAAAGCCUGACGCAGCGACGCCGCGUGGGGGAGGAAGCUCUUCGGAGUGUAAACCCCUGUCAGGAGGGAAGAACGGGCGCUCGAGGAAAUGCGGGCGUUUUGACGGUACCUCCAAAGGAAGCACCGGCUAACUCUGUGCCAGCCGCCGCGG
rnacentral:rRNA from 1 species